UACGUAGGGGGCAAGCGUUGUCCGGAAUUAUUGGGCGUAAAGAGCGUGUAGGCGGCCAGAUAAGUCCGCUGUGAAAUCUCGAGGCUCAACUUCGAGCUGUCGGUGGAAACUAUCUGGCUAGAGUCCGGAAGAGGAGAAUGGAAUUCCUGGUGUAGCGGUGAAAUGCGCAGAUAUCAGGAGGAACACCGGUGGCGAAGGCGGGUCUCUGGGCCGAAACUGACGCUGAGGAGCGAAAGCGUGGGGAGCAAACAGG
rnacentral:rRNA from 1 species